rnacentral:rRNA from 1 species
AUUGAACGCUGGCGGCAGGCCUAACACAUGCAAGUCGAACGAGUGGCGGACGGGUGAGUAAUAUCUGGGAAACUACCUGAUGGAGGGGGAUAACUACUGGACACGGUCGCUAAUAACGCAUACCAUCGGAUGUGCCCAGGUGGGAUUAGCUAGUUGGUGGGGUAACGGCGCACCAAGGCGACGAUCCCUAGCUGGUCUGAGAGGAUGACCAGCCACACUGGAACUGAGACACGGGCCAGACUCCGACGGGAGGCAGCAGUGGGGAAUAUUGCACAAUGGGCGCAAGCCGGAUGCAGCCAUGCCGCGUGUAUGAAGAGGGCCUUCGGGUUGUAAAGUACUUUCAGCGGGGAGGCGUUACCCGCAGAAGAAGCACCGGCUAACUCCGUGCCAGCAGCCGCGGUAAUUC